rnacentral:lncRNA from 1 species
AGUCUAAAAUAUGAGAACUGGUUUCUCUUCAUAUUGAGAGAUGUAUCCCAGAAGAAGACAUGGACAUUGGUUUCUUCAGACUCUAUACCAAGUGAAUGCUUCCAGAGGAAUGUUUGGAAUACACCACAGCACAACCCUUUCCCAGUUUGGCCAAGUCUGUGCAGGAUCCAGGACCAUCCCAAACAACAGAGUACACAAUGGCAUCUUUGACAACUACAGAAAUUCCAAUCGAGGACAUGUUUCCAAAUGCCCCCGAGGAUAUUUCCAUGAUAAACAUCGCUAUCGUGGUCGUUCUUUUAGAGGAUUUCAAAACAACUUCUCAAAAGGAAGCUCCCAGAAGUUGCCACAUUCAUCCUCAUAUGAUAAGUCAAAUAAAAGGCAAGAUGGUUCUCAAAAAGUGGAAACAUUGUCAGCAGAACCCAAGGAAGCUGAACAAGGCAAGGAGGUUUCUUUGUGGAACAGAACUUACUCACCCAAGGAUGAGUUAAAACCUGAUUCUCAAGCCACAGGUGUUGACAAACCAUUGUGUUCUGCACUAGCAGUGUCUCCAUCAUCCUGGGGAACUCUGGAGAGCCUUACAUCCUGCAGAAAUGAAACUGAAAUUGACCUGAGUCAAACUAAGCAGGUUGAAGAGAAGGCCACUCCGGUUGCUGAAGAGCCUCCUGAACAGAUAGCUCCUUUCCCUUCUGCUACAGUGCCUGCAGAAGAGCGCUCAUUGUCUGAAACCACAGAAAGGCUUCUUUCCGUAGAAGAAAAAGAUUCUCCAUUGACCAAAAUCACAGGCUACUGUGAGAAUUCAGAUCACGGACAAGGUGGCUGUGCCUCAACUGUUAACUCCGUCAAGCACCAACAUACCCUCAGUAACAUCCAUUGUGUGCCUGUGCUGGUGAGAGAUGCAAGGAAUAAGCUGCCUUGGAAAACUGCUGACGACUUGAGAGGAUGGGCACCUGAGGACUGUCAAGAUCCUCCCUGGACUGUGAACCAAGCUGGCAAGUGUGAGAACAUCUCUGAACACAACAGAGAGUUGUUCUGUUGCCAGGUUCCUUCUGGGCCCCUUUCUCAUACUCGCCUCUCCUGUGACCAGAAAAAUGAGAAUGGAAGACUGCUAGAAUGCCAUUGUUCUUCACCAAAGAGUCAUUUCAGCAGUGGUUCAGAGCAUUCUAGCACAAACUAUGUCUCUAAGAAGUUUGGUCCUGAGAAUUCAAGACCCUCUUGCCAAAAAAGAUACCAUUCAAGAUCCCCUCGCAGGCAAGAACAUAGUU